GCCGGCAGCUAGCUCUCGGCAACUCUCACAUGGUCACCAACUGAAGCUAAGCAGGGCUGCGUCCGGUCAGUACCUGGAUGGGAGACCACAUGAGACAGCUAGGUUGCAGCCGGAA
rfam:Danio rerio chromosome 3, GRCz11 reference primary assembly.